GCACGUGACCUCAGAGUGGUUCUCACGGCGCUACCAGUCCGGCACCGACAAUCGAAACCGGCAAAUUCAUGGUUUGAUGACCACGCACACUGGCGGAUCCGUCCCAUUUAGCGCACAUGCAAAGCGGAUGGCUGCGUCUCUUGGAUGUGAGCCGAGUCCAAUGGAGCUGUUUGUAGAGAUGCAUGUGCAGAGUCAAGACCACCAAAAGAGGGUGCAACAGUUCGUGGACAACCGUGCUUAGCACUUUGUGGAGACUUAUAAUAGCCAGUUGAGGGAGAGAUAUGGAGACCAUCCUUCGACCUAUCCAGAUUUCAAUCCAGAUUUGUGGAUGGAGUGAGAUCGUCUGGUGGACCUGAUAAAAAUCGGGUCUACAGGCUCUCCAACACUAUGGCUGAAAACUUGUGUUCAGUUCGUAGUGUCUCAACCGUUGGAAGCUCUCCAUCAAUAUCGAACACCUAGUAUGAGGAGUUCAUUGCCUUGAAACAACAAUAUCAACAACUCUCGAUGAAUUAUGAUGAGCUCCGUCAAAUAGUCAUGGAGAUGAGAUCAAAGACGGGUGACGAUACUUGUGCAGCUCUUUUUUGGCCGUAUGGUCCCGGGAACAACCAACCUCCUCCUCCUCCCCCUCC